GGCUCAGAGUGACUCAACCUAGCCUCUGUGGAGGACCCUCCCCUUUUGGGCAUUGCUUUCACUCAGGGUGUGGCACCAUUGGUCCUGAGGGUCCUCAGAAGGGCUAUGGUUGCAGCAAGCAGAGAGCUCCAGAUGGGCUGUGCUGAAGCAGCUGUUGACAGGGUUCUGCUAGCCCCCAGGGCCUCUGGAACUCGAUCAUGACAGCAUCUGUCUGUGUCUGCUCCCACCAGAUGGAUGAGCUGGGAGGUAAGGCAUGUGGCUUCCUCCUGGCAAUGUCUGUCUGUGAAUGUGACCCUGCAGCUGUCUGCCCACCUCCCCCAUACUUCAUCUCUCUAGAAGGAGUUUCCAGCGGUAACCUGACCUCACGGGUGAGCCUACUCCUUGGGGUCAGGACUGUGACCUUCACGUUCCUGGUUGGGGCAUAACCGAGGAUGCUCGUGUUCUGCUAACGUUGGCAGCGGCUGCACUCAGUACAGAGCAUCUUAAGGAGCUCUGAGGUUACAGGCACAUGCUGCCACCCUGGCUUUGCUCAUGGAUUUUGCGCAUCCAAAGGCAGGUCCCCAUGCUUGCACAGUGAACACUUCACCCACUGGUGCCUUUAGCCAGCUCCACAGACCAGUGUUGUCUCCAGUCGCGGCUUCAAUACAAGGUGACCCAUCUACCCCGUCCUAUCCUGGCGACCCAUCUACACUGUCCUGUCCUGGUGACCCAUCUACACUGUCAUGUACUGGUGACCCAUCUACGCUGUCCUGUACUGGUGACCUGUCUACACCGUCCUGUACUGGUGACCUGCCUACACCAUCCUGUACUGCUGACCCGUCUACACCGUCCUGUACUGGUGACCCAUCUACACCGUCCUGUACUGGUGAUUUGUCUACACUGUCCUGCACAGGUGACCCAUCUACCCCGUCCUAUCCUGGCGACCCAUCUACACUGUCCUGUCCUGGUGACCCGUCUACACUGUCCUGUUCUGGUGACCCGUCUACACCGUCCUGUACUGGUGAUCUGCCUACACUGUCCUGCACAGGUGACCCAUCUACACUGUCCUGCACUGGUGACCCAUCUACACUGUCCUGUACUGGUGACCCGUCUACACUGUCCUGCACUGGUGACCCAUCUACACUGUCCUGUACUGGUGACCCAUCUACACUGUCCUGCACUGGUGACCCAUCUACACUGUCCUGCACAGGUGACCCGUCUACACUGUAUUGUGGCAGGCUCCAUCAUUAUGCUUAACUACAGUUUAUUUAUACCUUCUGGUUCUAGACAACUUCUCAUUUUCAUAUAACAAUGAAAAAUUCAUUAGAUCUAGAGCCUCCACACUCAAUAACAUUACCAACAUUGUUCAAGAGUCCAAAGUCUCUUUUGAGACUUAAGAUAAGCUCUUCUAUCAAUCAAAAGAUAACUUACAUACUUUUGGGGCUAGAAGGCUACAGAGUAAGGAUUCCCAUUUAACACCUCCAUCCUAAAAGGGAGGCAUGGGGGAAUAAAAGGAGAAUAGAGACAAAGCAAGAUCCAAACCCAGAAGGGCAGGUGGCUCAAGAUGGAAUCCAAUAGCUUUGGGUAGCCUUGCCCUGAAGUAAACAUGGCCCUGCUCCACACUAUGCCUGCAUCUGUCCUCAGUGGAUGUUGCACGGUCUGCCAUCUUCGAUGUUUUGAAGUCUCCACUGCGUGCUGGUGUUUGGCUUCCCAGCUCCACGAGGUCACCUUUCAGGGCUUCCUUGCAUGAGAUAAGACAUGCAGUUUUCUAGAACCUUGGUGUCAGCCUUCACAACGGUAUCACUCUUGCUUGGUUCACAUCUACCAAGCUAGUGCCAUGUAGAUGGUACUCUUACAUUCUGUCACCAUCAGUAUGAGGUGUGGCCUGGCCUCCUUGCACUGUAGACACAGUGGCCUCUGUGAGCUUCCGAGGAGGCUCAGUCUGAGAAAUGCUUGCCUAGGCAGCUGCUUACCAUCAUGAGACCCUUUCAGUGGCAUUCUCAGCUUAAGUUCUCUCCUUUAAAAGGAAUUUAUGUCUUCAAAAGCUUUCAUGGGUAUGGUCUUGCCCCCCAGGGUACCUUUCUUAUGGCCCAGCUUGGAUGUAAUCUCUUUACCAGUUAUAGCUGCUCUCAUAGCUUGUCUGCAUCUUAAAGCUCACUGUUCCUGUUUUAUUUCUGUUGCUAUGAGACAAAAAUAACUUGGAGAAGAAGAGGAGAUGCAGUCCAUUAUGGCUGGGACAAUGUGGUAGCGGAUGGGUGAGAAUGUCAGCCAUAUUGGAUCUGCACUCAGGAAAUAAGAAGUGAUGAAUGUUGGGACUCUGCCCACCAUGGUCUCUUUCUCCAGUCUGGGAACCCACCCCAUUGGAUGGUGCACCCACACUUAGAGUGGGACUUCACUACCCAGUUAAAACUUUCUGGAAAUGCCCCCCAGAGAUGACAUAUCUAGAGCUUUAUUUCUUAGAUGGUUCUAAUUACAGUCAAAUUGACAAUAAAGGUUAUCUACCACAACAUGGUAAUAAGUUAUAAAGUUACUGGCAUACAUUACUCUUUCUCAGUGGCUGAUGAUAAUCAUGUAGCAGCUUGGAAGACCACAGUCAUUUGUUUCUGGGGAA